AUUGAACGCUGGCGGCAGGCCUAACACAUGCAAGUCGAACGGUAACAGGAAGAAGCUUGCUUCUUUGCUGACGAGUGGCGGACGGGUGAGUAAUGUCUGGGAAACUGCCUGAUGGAGGGGGAUAACUACUGGAAACGGUAGCUAAUACCGCAUAACGUCGCAAGACCAAAGGGGGACCUUCGGGCCUCUUGCCAUCGGAUGUGCCCAGAUGGGAUUAGCUAGUAGGUGGGGUAACGGCUCACCUAGGCGACGAUCCCUAGCUGGUCUGAGAGGAUGACCAGCCACACUGGAACUGAGACACGGUCCAGACUCCUACGGGAGGCAGCAGUGGGGAAUAUUGCACAAUGGGCGCAAGCCUGAUGCAGCCAUGCCGCGUGUAUGAAGAAGGCCUUCGGGUUGUAAAGUACUUUCAGCGGGGAGGAAGGGAGUAAAGUUAAUACCUUUGCUCAUUGACGUUACCCGCAGAAGAAGCACCGGCUAACUCCGUG
rnacentral:rRNA from 1 species